rnacentral:rRNA from 1 species
AACAGGAUUAGAUACCCUGGUAGUCCACGCCGUAAACGAUGUCUACUAGCUGUUCGUGGUCUUGUACUGUGAGUAGCGCAGCUAACGCACUAAGUAGACCGCCUGGGGAGUACGGUCGCAAGAUUAAAACUCAAAUGAAUUGACGGGGGCCCGCACAAGCGGUGGAGCAUGUGGUUUAAUUCGACGCAACGCGAAGAACCUUACCUACUCUUGACAUCUAGCGAAGAUUGUAGAGAUACGAUUGUGCCUUCGGGAACGCUAAGACAGGUGCUGCAUGGCUGUCGUCAGCUCGUGUUGUGAAAUGUUGGGUUAAGUCCCGCAACGAGCGCAACCCUUAUCCUUAGUUGCCAGCACGUAAUGGUGGGAACUCUAGGGAGACUGCCGGUGAUAAACCGGAGGAAGGUGGGGACGACGUCAAGUCAUCAUGGCCCUUACGAGUAGGGCUACACACGUGCUACAAUGGUACGUACAGAGGGAGGCAAGCUGGCGACAGUGAGCGGAUCUCUUAAAGCGUAUCGUAGUCCGGAUCGCAGUCUGCAACUCGACUGCGUGAAGUCGGAAUCGCUAGUAAUCGCAAAUCAGAAUGUUGCGGUGAAUACGUUCCCGGGCCUUGUACACACCGCCCGUCACACCAUGGGAGUGGGUUGCAAAAGAAGUAGGUAGCUUAACCUUCGGGAGGGCGCUUACCACUUUGUGAUUCAUGACUGGGGUGAAGUCGUAACAAGGUAACC